GGCCGCUCCCCCGGGGGCCUCCCGCCCGCCGCGGCCCCGCCCAACGAGCGCGGCUGCAGCGGGACGAGCCGCUCCGGGCCGGGCGCUGGCGCCGAGGCCGCUGCUGCCGCUCCUGCUCUGACUGCGCCCGCUGCGGGACCGGGGCCUCGCCGGGGCUCGCUGCUGCUUGAGCCGCUCAUCCGAUACCUGCCGGAGUACAGGAGAUCCGGAGUGGGAAGGGAUACACAAGGACCACCAAGUCGAGCCCUUAUGUGAAUGGCUCCUCUGGGGAUUGAACCCACACCUGGGCAUUCUCAGUACACUGCUCCAACCAAGCCAAUCUCAGCUCCUGGCAAUGUCCUGCCUGGGAUGGGAAUGCCAAGUGCCAGCAAGGAUUUACCCAACAGCUGUCAAGGUGCUCGUUCCAUGGCCCUUUCCAGGGAGAAAUGAGCAAGGCAAGGCCUGAGGGUUCACUUGGUCCAUGGCCAAAGCUCUUCUGAAGAGUGUCAGGGCUGCUCCUGCCUGCAGAGGGGCGUUUCCUGCAGGUGCCCCGGGGAUGCCAGGGAGGUGCCUUUGCCCACAGUGCCUUUCUCCUGCCCCUCUCCAGCCCGAGGCCUCUUCUCCCUUCCCUGCCAGCUGCUGCCAAGGAAGGAGGACACAUUCCCCACUGAGAAGAACACAACCUCACAGCUGUUAAGGCCUGACAGUUCCCUGCAGGGAGAGCUCAGCACAUGUGCCCAGAGGCAAUCCCAGCAUCUGCAAGAAAGAAAGAAGCAGCAAAAGUGACUUUUGCAAGCAAACUCUGAAGCUGACAAGCCCAGAAGCUCCAUCCAUCCACUCUGGAAGGAAAGGAUACUCCCAGGGAUGAGGCACAUUCCCAGCAAACUCUCCCAACACAGCCUGGAGGCAGCGCUGGAGCUCGGCUGUGGGGCUGGGAAGGGCUGCCAGGAGCACGCAGCCCCAGGUGGGGUGGCAGCAGCAAAUUCCCACAGGCUGAUGGCACAACAGAGAGACAAAGGCCAGCAGUGGCCACGGGAGGUGCAGGGUUAAUUCUGCUCCCUGCCCUGCCCCAUCCCUGCAGGAAAGCUCCAGGGGGGAGAGAAACUCUCAGGGUGCCCAAAAUGCAGCAUCUGUCACCCUGAUCCUGCUUCAACUCAGCGUGGGGGGCCAAACUCCCCCCACAGGUAAACACUGAGCUGACCUGGUCAGUCUCAAACACAGCCCCAGUUCUCCCCUCCAGCCUGCUCCUGGGGCUGCUGCCACAUUCCUGACAAGGUGCCCCUUUGGACAGGGCUCUCUCUGUGUCUCAGGUGCUGGGCACUGCAGGGACCAGGGCAGCCCCCUCUGGGGACAAUUGGGGAUUCAUCCCACACCACAGGCAGGACCAGGGGCCCUCCAGUACAGGCUGGUGGGGCCAGAGCCCAUUGGGUUUGGCUGCUCAAACACCAAAGCUUUUGGCAAAGAUGGGAUGAGUUAAGUGGGUUUUCCUGUCCUGAGACAGAGAAGAAAUUGUUGAAAUUAAGCAUGGAAAUUAAGUCCACUGUGGAAGUCAAAGGCUCCUGGCUUUCCCACUCCUGUUCUGAUUGCUCACUAGAGGGUUUUAUCCAUAACAAAUGAGAGGUGGCACCAAAUAAAAGAGCUCUUUUUCAA